GGGCGUAUAGCUCAGUUGGUUAGAGCGCUUGCUCGACACGCAAGAGGUCACAGGUUCGAGUCCUGUUACGCCCA
rnacentral:tRNA from 1 species